GCAUCCAAUAAACAAUGAAAUCGAUGUUGCGAAAUGUUCUGAAUUAGAUUCGAACGGAAUUUCAAUCGCAUUUUUAUCCCUAUUGCUCGUGUCAGACGAAUUCAGCAAAACUUGCUUUAACUUCUGAAACACCGUAUUAAAAGAUUUUGUUUAAACAAAGGUUAUGCUGCCUCUCAUAGCUUCACUGCUAACAUGGUUAGCUGCAGCUGGAGCCAGAGACGUGGGUAAGGCACUUAAGACUAUGCCCAUCGUCACUAACUCUCUGGUCAAUUUGGGCAAAAUGGAUAUUGCUUUCUACUUUAAUUCUCGACCUCAAGAUUUAACAAUGCGAUCUGAGCUUCCAAGUCACGGGUCCAGUUCAUCGUUUGGUCCAAAAGUCGAAUCCUUAUUAACGGAACCCUGUCCAUGUUCAAGUUUAAAAUACAUAAGAGAUUCUUCACAAAACAACCCAUCUGAGCUCUUAAGCAAAAUUCUAACUGGAAAUGACCUGUUUUCUUUUAAAAAGCCCGCUACCUCGACUCUUUGUUGUGAUUCACAUGAAAAUGUACAAGAAGAUGUACUUUUAGAGUUCGGUCCGAAACAAAGUCAAAUUAUAGCGAAUCAACAAAACUCCUUCCCAUUACUGCCAUUUUUGUUUGAUAGCAUUCAAAGUAAAUCUAAUUCGCCUUUUGUGCUACCAAAAGCAAAGACUGUAGAAAUUUUGAUAUUCCCAAAAAAACGGGGAUUGUCCAUGGACAUUGACAAAUUUACGACUAAAAAGAAGGAUAUUAUAAAAGUAGUUGGAGAUAAAGAAAUUAGAAAUGAAAUUAAGUCCAACAAAUUUGUUCCUCCGAUUAUAACAUCUAUCAAGAAAGAUUUAGCACUACAAGAAAAAAAUAAACCUGUCACAAAUAAAGCGGACGAGACCAUGUUUACUGUUGAUAAUAAAUCAAACAUAGUGUGAUGUUACAAUAAAACAUAAUCGUGUCACUCUCA